UCCCCGAUAGCUCAGUUGGUAGAGCAAAUGACUGUUAAUCAUUGGGUCCCUGGUUCGAGCCCGGGUCGGGGAGCCA
rnacentral:tRNA from 2 species